AACGAACGCUGGUGGCGUGCUUAACACAUGCAAGUCGAACGAGAAAGCUCCUUCGGGAGUGAGUAGAGUGGCGCACGGGUGAGUAAUGAAUAGGAACGUACCUGUAGGCGGGGGAUAACCACGGGAAACUGUGGCUAAUACCGCAUAAUAUCGCAAGAUUAAAGAGGGCCUCUGCUUGCAUGCUCUUACCUACAGAGCGGCCUAUUUCUCAUUAGCUUGUUGGUAGGGUAAUGGCCUACCAAGGCGACGAUGGGUAGCUGGUCUGAGAGGAUGAUCAGCCACACUGGAACUGAGACACGGUCCAGACUCCUACGGGAGGCAGCAGUGGGGAAUAUUGCACAAUGGGCGCAAGCCUGAUGCAGCAACGCCACGUGAGUGAAGAAGGCCCUUGGGUUGUAAAGCUCUUUCAGCUAGGAAGAAGGGUAGAGAAGUUAAUAGCUACUUUAUUUGACGGUACUAGACUAAGAAGCACUGGCUAAUUCCGUGCCAGCCGCCGCCGUAACAC
rnacentral:rRNA from 1 species